rnacentral:tRNA from 1 species
GUCUUUUAAGCUCAAGGGAGUUUUAGUUUUUUGAAUUAGAGGUUUAUAAGGUA